CACAACUUUCAACAACGGAUCUCUUGGCUCUUGCAUCGAUGAAGAACGCAGCGAAAUGCGAUAAGUAAUGUGAAUUGCAGAAUCCAGUGAAUCAUCGAAUCUUUGAACGCACCUUGCGCCCUUUGGUAUUCCGAGGGGCAUGCCUGUUUGAGAG
rnacentral:rRNA from 1 species